UCUCAGCAUCUCUACUCACGCUACUCUGCGAACCGCCCACUAGCAGCUAGAUUGUGUAAUAAGCACAUGACAAUUAAUUAAUAGCACCCAAACCCGAACGCACGCGCCUACAGCCCGUAAAAUCAAACAGAAAUAGCUUCGAAAGCAGCCAAGUACGCCGUUUUUGCGACAAUUCAAUUAAAAACCUAUUACACAUUGUUUUUGGCAACGCGAAGCCCUUGAAUGGGAUACUGCCAGGCUCAACAAUAGAGAACACGUGUAGAAUUUGAGUGCACAGGGAUUUAUUUUUAAGCAGCUUAUUAAUUUGUAUUUUUAAAGAUGCUAAUUUAUUUAACUAAAAGUUACGUAAGUGUAUUUACAUUUUAUUAUAUUCAAAAUAAAUUUACAAAUUGGUAAUGCAAAUAUAUUUCGGAGUAGCUACACGAAUUAUCUACAUUUUUAAUACUGUCUGAUUGUCAAGUAACCAGAUCUUUAAAAAUUCUGUAAACCAUAUUAAAAAUUAUAAAUAUGAUUUAUUGAAUUCGAAACAGAACCUAAGGACUAUAAUGUAGAUGGGUAACCCUAAAAGUGACCUUAUAAUUAAUAGAUUUAAUGUAACAUUUCGUAAAACUAUAUUAUAACUUUUAGGUAAGCAUGUUUAGCUGAAAUAUUAUUAGGAUACCCCAGUGUUUUCAAUAAAUUUUCUCUAAUUAACACUGUUACAAGCCCUAAGAGCAAUAAAAAUUCGACGUGCCGGAGGUGUUGGAUUAUUCAUAAUUGUUUUAUAUGUAAAACUAUCAAAGUAUUUGGCCAAAGCAGACAGAAAGAGGCUCUCGAGUUUGGAGCUCCCCAGACGGCAAACGAAACGUGAGCUGGCCAAAACACACACACUUUUACCAAAAGCUGGCUACCUGUGUGUUUGUACACCUGUCAGAGCUACAACCUGCACGGGGCUAUCAGAAUUCAUUCAAAAUUGAAGAUACAAUCCAGAAGAGCGAGAUACGAUGGGCUACGUGACAAUAUUUUAUGAGGCAGUGGAGGAAAUAAAAUGCAGAUCAAAGAAGACGAAAGAAGUGUCGCUGUAAAUGUAAAUGUGUUUUCGAUCUUUAAAAAUAGGUUUUGAGAUAUUUAUCUGUAAGAUACUUUCAAGCUUAAAGAUACAAGUGUAUUUUUCGAUGGAGCUUUCAAUGCAUUUUUCGUUUGGCUUUGACCAAAAAUAUUUCCCUUUCCUGUGGCCACAUAAAAAAU